rnacentral:rRNA from 1 species
UACGGGGGGAGCAAGCGUUGUUCGGAUUUACUGGGCGUAAAGGGCGCGUAGGCGGCGCAAUAAGUCACUUGUGAAAUCUCCGGGCUUAACCCGGAGCGGUCAAGUGAUACUGUCGUGCUAGAGUGCGGAAGGGGCUACUGGAAUUCUCGGUGUAGCGGUGAAAUGCGUAGAUAUCGAGAGGAACACCUGCGGCGAAGGCGGGUAGCUGGGCCGACACUGACGCUGAUGCGCGAAAGCCAGGGGAGCGAACGGG